GUUCUCCAUUAAGUCAUCUUCCCAUAACUCCUUGUUUUUCUUGCUGGAAAAAAAAAACCUUAGCCCCACCAAAACAAACAAAUACUCAAUGCCAUUUUGUCCAGAUAAUUAGCCUGAAAUAAACAUAUUUAAUACAACGAAUGCCACUUGUAAAAUUCCCAUCCAAGGAAGGAGAACCUUUACCCUGCAACCUCAUCCUCAUGGGUCUGCCAGGGCUGUCCGGUACAGUCCACAUCAGUCGUUUAUGGUUCCAAUUUGGUCAGAAGUGACAACAUUUCGGCAUUCACAUUCUAUUUGCUGGACCGGUAUUGAAUGUUAAAAUAAAGAUUUGCAGGGCCAUGCUCCACAUUAACAGACUGCCAUUAUCUCAGGACACCUGAUUUAAUCGGACCAGUGGGUUGUGGUCAGCACUGUGAAGAAACGUGUGGCGGAACCAACCUCGCCACUGUCCACUGGAGAGGCCUGGUUGCUUGCCUGCUCCCUUUAGACUAUGGUCCUGCAUUUCAAACUUUUAUU